AGAGUUUGAUCAUGGCUCAGAACGAACGCUGGCGGCGUGCCUAACACAUGCAAGUCGAGCGAGAAAAUUGGCUUCGGCCAGUGAGUAAAGCGGCGCACGGGUGAGUAACGCGUGGACAAUCUGCCUCAUGGUUCAGAAUAACCUGCCGAAAGGGGGCUAAUGCUGGAUAAGUUCUUUGGGACUGCGGUCUUGGAGAAGAAACGAUGCUCGCAAGGGUGUCGCCGUGAGAUGAGUCCGCGUCCCAUCAGGUAGUUGGCGGGGUAACGGCCCCCAAGCCUAAGACGGGUAGCUGGUCUGAGAGGAUGAUCAGCCACACUGGAACUGAGACACGGUCCAGACUCCUACGGGAGGCAGCAGUGGGGAAUUUUGGUCAAUGGGCGCAAGCCUGAACCAGCAACGCCGCGUGGGUGAUGAAGGCCUUCGGGUUGUAAAGCCUGUCGGGAGGGACGAAUGAACGGCUUAACAAACCGGAAUGACGGUACCUCCAAAGGAAGCACCGGCUAACUCUGUGCCAGCAGCCGCGGUAAUACAGAGGGUGCAAGCGUUGUUCGGAAUUACUGGGCGUAAAGCGCGUGUAGGCGGUCCGCCAAGUCUGAUGUGAAAGCCCUGGGCUCAACCCAGGAAGUGCGUCAGAUACUGGUAGACUGGAGUGGCGGAGAGGAUGGCGGAAUUCCCGGUGUAGAGGUGAAAUUCGUAGAUAUCGGGAGGAACACCUGUGGCGAAGGCGGCCAUCUGGACGUCAACUGACGCUGAGACGCGAAAGCAUGGGGAGCAAACAGGAUUAGAUACCCUAGUAGUCC
rnacentral:rRNA from 1 species